ACUCAAAUGAAUUGACGGGGGCCCGCACAAGCGGUGGAACAUGUGGUUUAAUUCGAAGCUACGCGAAAAACCUCACCAGGGCUUGACAUAAUAGAAGUAGUGAAAUGAAAGUGGAACGACCUGUCAAAUCAGGAGCUAUUACAGGUGCUGCAUGGCUGUCGUCAGCUCGUGUCGUGAGAUGUUGGGUUAAGUCCCGCAACGAGCGCAACCAUUAUUCUUUGUUGCCACUCUUAUCUAGCUUGCUAGGUAAGAAGCACUCUAAGAAGACUGCCUGGGAUAACCAGGAGGAAGGUGGAGAUGACGUCAAGUCAGUACGGCCUUUAUGCCCUGGGCGACACACGUGUUACAAUGGGUAGGACAAAGGGUUGCCAACCCGCGAGGGGGAGCUAAUCUCAAAAACCUACCCUCAGUUCAGAUCGGAGUCUGCAAUUCGACUCCGUGAAGCCGGAAUCGCUAGUAAUGGUAGAUCAGCAUGCUACCGUGAAUACGUUCCCGGGCCUUGUACACACCGCCCGU
rnacentral:rRNA from 1 species